GAUGAACGCUGGCGGCGUGCCUAAUACAUUCAAGUCGAGCGAACGGACGAGAAGCUUGCUUUUCUGAUGUUAGCGGCGGACGGGUGAGUAACACGUGGAUAACCUACCUAUAAGACUGGGAUAACUUCGGGAAACCGGAGCUAGUACCGGAUAAUAUUUUGAACCGCAUGGUUCAAAAGUGAAAGACGGUCUUGCUGUCACUUAUAGAUGGAUCCGCGCUGCAUUAGCUAGUUGGUAAGGUAACGGCUUACCAAGGCAACGAUGCAUAGCCGACCUGAGAGGGGGGUCGGCCCCCCUGGAACUGGACCACCGUCCAGGCUCCUAAGGGAGGCCGCAGUCGGGAAUCUUCCGCAAUGGGGGGAAGGCUGGCGGAGCAACGGCGCGUGAGUGAAGGAAGUCUUCGGAUCGGAAAACUCUGUUAUUAGGGAAGAACAUAUGUGUAAGUAACUGUGCACAUCUUGACGGUACCUAAUCAGAAAGCCACGGCUAACUACGUG
rnacentral:rRNA from 1 species